rnacentral:rRNA from 1 species
GCUUGUCUCAAAGAUUAAGCCAUGCAUGUCUAAGUGUAAAUAAGUCUAUACUGUGAAACUGCGAAUGGCUCAUUAAAUCAGUUAUCGUUUAUUUGAUGAUCUCUUACUACUUGGAUAACCGUAGUAAUUCUAGAGCUAAUACAUGCGUAAAAUCCCGACUCUCGCGGGGAGGGAUGUAUUUAUUAGUUAAAAAGCCAAUGCGGGUUCUGCCCGGUUUUGUGGUGAAUCAUAGUAACUGUUCGAAUCGCAUGGCUUCACGCCGGCGAUAGUUCAUUCAAAUUUCUGCCCUAUCAGCUUUCGACGGUAGUGUAGUGGACUACCGUGGCGUUAACGGGUAACGGAGAAUUAGGGUUCGGUUCCGGAGAGGGAGCCUGAGAAACGGCUACCACAUCCAAGGAAGGCAGCAGG